GUUCAGAUUCGAGGAAGAAUCCUUUCUAAGGAGAGGAGGAUGAUAUGGGUCAAAGCGGUAUCUUAUCACUCGAGGACAUGAAGAUGUGAGUGAAUACCCGAGCUUGUGGAGCUGACCACCCAAGGAACAAGAUUUGAAGUGUUGAAAACAAGUCCCAACACUCCAAAACCGUUCAAGGAGUACACUACAAGGCUGCCCCUUUGUUUGGGCUCAUUAAGGGCCUUUUAGUCAGUUUUGUAAUUAAGUGUUGCCCUAGUCUAUAAAUAGAAC
rnacentral:lncRNA from 1 species